rnacentral:rRNA from 1 species
UACGUAGGCAGCAAGCGUUGUUCGGAAUUACUGGGCGUAAAGAGUGUGUAGGCGGUGCUCCAAGUCUGGUGUGAAAUCUCCCGGCUCAACUGGGAGGGUGCAUUAGAAACUGGAAUGCUAGAGGAUGGGAGAGGUAAGCGGAAUUCCUGGUGUAGCGGUGAAAUGCGUAGAUAUCAGGAGGAACACCUGUGGUGUAGACAGCUUACUGGACCAUUUCUGACGCUGAGACACGAAAAGCGUGGGGUAGCAAA